GACGAACGCUGGCGGCGUGCCUAAUACAUGCAAGUUGAGCGAUGAAGAUUGGUGCUUGCACCAAUUUGAAGAGCAGCGAACGGGUGAUUAACGCGUGGGGAAUCUGCCUUUGAGCGGGGGACAACAUUUGGAAACGAAUGCUAAUACCGCAUAACAACUUUAAACAUAAGUUUUAAGUUUGAAAGAUGCAAUUGCAUCACUCAAAGAUGAUCCCGCGUUGUAUUAGCUAGUUGGUGAGGUAAAGGCUCACCAAGGCGAUGAUACAUAGCCGACCUGAGAGGGGGCUAGGCCAACCUGGGCACGAGAAAAGGCCCAAAACCCUAAGGGGGGCAGACGUACGGAAUUCUUGGCAAAGGGAGCAAGGUUGAACGAGGAACGCCGGGCGAGUGCAGAAGGUUUUUGGGUCGGAAAACUCUGUUGGUAGAGAAGAACGUUGGUGAGAGUGGAAAGCUCAUCAAGUGACGGUAACUACACAGAAAGGGACGGCUAACUACGUG
rnacentral:rRNA from 1 species